rnacentral:lncRNA from 1 species
AGAUGUGUAUAAGAGACAAAGAGACAGGUGUUUCUGGAGGGACCUUCCCCAGGGCCAAGGUCCCUUUGGUGAGGCCGUGAGAAGGGUCCCUGCCCUGAGGGAUCUUGUCCCGGGGACCAAGCAGGGAGGGGACGCAUCUGCUCCUCUUCAGACUCCGCUGUGGGCCACGCCCUGGGCAGGUGCUCCACAGCUGCGCUCUGCCAGAUUUGCCCACCUUGAGGCAUGUGGCAGCACCCCUCCCAGAGUCCCAAGGGGUGUCCGCCCUUGCCACAGUCAUGCAUGACCCGGGACCACAGAUGGGGCACGGAAGUUCUCGGAGGAGGAUGAAGCCCUCACUUUACAGAUGAGGAAGCUGAGGCUGGGGAGGGCGAGUGACCCCCCAAAGCCACCCUGCUGAGACUGGGGCGCUGUGAGCCCCGCUUGCAGGCCGCGCCUCAUUCUCUUCAGGACCCAGGCCCCUUUCCACAGCAUCCUAGGUGUCCCAGACCCUGGCCUGAGGGGACUGGGGAGGGGCCCUGCCAGAGAUGGGAUCACUCUUCACCCCUAUUUCAGAUGCCUGCCACCCCGGACCCCACCCCGACACCCUGACCCUGGGAAGGGGCCCGUGUGGCCCAGGCUGAGCAGCCGGCAAGCAUGUCACGUUGUCUAUGAAGUCAGUGCCCCCACUGCCCGCCCUCCGCGGCCGCCCCCCGGGUCCCUCCUCCCUGUUUGUACACAGUGGCCUGCGAUGCAACGUGUGCGCGUGUGUGACCUGUG